ensembl:lncRNA
GGAAGUGGUCAUCAGGAAGUGUAGAGCCAAACAGAGUACGGUGCAUAGACUGUACAGACAUUUUUUUCCGUUAGUUUUCAUGGUCAGAAUGAGAGAUCAGGUGGCCGAUCUUAAAAUAAAUCAAUAUUGAUUUUUUUUAUAGAGCAUUAAAGUUUUGCAAAGCGAGGAGGCGGGACUACUUGAUUGACAGUCCGGUCUGGAAUGAUUGACAGGUCCUAUGGAGGAGGCAGCAGAGACUCUGUUCUCCUCGUUUGGAUUAAUUCUGAUAUAAUAACUGUUGGUUUAUUUAUCGGUGGAGCAGCAGAACAUUUUCCAGGCAGUUUUCCUUCCCGUUGGCUUGUUUUAACCAGUUUUCUACCUUCGGCUGAUUCUACCAGCAGACACUGAAAGGACUCUGAUAGUUCGAGUGAAAGCAGCAGUUCCUCCUUAAGGUCAGAGAUUGCAGCAUCUGAGGACCUCUUCAAAAGAAGAUGUAGUUGAUGAAGGCGUUCUGGAGCAGGACCAGAAAGACCACGACCAAGCAGCCUUUACAUCUUAGGCAGCGUCUCCCUGAGGUCCCUCUCUAUCUCCACACACAUCCACCAACCACUGGAACACAUCUCCAAAGUUCUGCCGGGCCAGCUCAGCUUCCCCUCAGAAGAAGUGCUACCAGAUGAAGGAGCCUUUUGAGAGGCAGCUGGCAUCGUGAUUGGACUGUACUUUGGUCUGUUCCAAUCCAGCUUCAGCUCCAGAGACGGCAGGCGGGACGAGUCAACGGAGGCCGGGUGGACGAAGGCAUGCAGCUGAGUACAAUCCAGAAAACAACAGAGGAGGAGUGCAGUGGCCCAGGGCCAGAACAAGCAGAGUACCAUUACCAAAGAACUACAGACUCUUCACAACCUGCUCAAACUCUUGGUACAGGACCUCACCACACGGGUCAAGAAGGUUUCUGUCUCAUUUCUACUCUGAAGAUCACCUUCUCCUGCUCAAACUGCUGACAAAUGUUUCUGCUGCUCUAAAGUCUGGUCUCCAGAACUUCCUAAAAACUCUCAAAGUCUCUUCUGCUGCAGGUUGCUUUGUAGAACUGUCGCAGAAAACCUCACUAAACCACAUGGAGGGGCCUCAAGAUAGUCGUCCAAAUGAAAUCGUACAAAAACCAAACUAGCACAACCCAAACACUAAACUCUCCUGCAGCCUACCAGAGAACCUCUGAGAACAGAGAAUCAGGACAGGAACUCUUACCUUCUGGACAACCAACAUUGGUUCUCAAACAAGAAUACAGAAUGUGUCUGACCAAAAACCUCUAAAGACUCACUACAGCCAAGAUAAAGACACAACUCAGCUGCACCAAAUCCACUAAUCACUGCACACAUUAGGACCAUGUGCUAACUGUGGCUAAAGAACCACAUUUACCAAGACAACUAUCCAGUACAAAGCCAUAAAACACACCAAGAAACACAUUAAAGACGAUUUUACUGCUGGAAGCUGCAAGCCAACACCUAAAGAACAAACUGAAGCAAUGGCGCUAAACCUGAUUCAGUGGUGAAUAGAAGCAGAGGAAAUGUUUGUCUGCAGCUAAAUAAAGCAGGAAGACACUGAGCUGCUCAGGUGUUCCUGAUAACACCAAGCAGCCACCUGGACAGCCAAUAAGAACACAGCUUCCUGGAAGUCCAGAGGGCUGGGUUAGUGAAGGAAAUUUAAUUUAAAGUUGAAGCAGAAAGUUAACAAAGAAAGUUGAAAACCACCUUCUGAUACCUGAAAUCUCUGAGUUUUCACACAAAGAACACCUGAACAUGUCAAACUGGUUUCAUAGUAGAACCAUCAUUGUAAAAACGUCAUAGUAUGGUGUGUUGCUCAAAAAACAUUACGACCCGGCUGUCUAGGGUCACUGAGGAGCAACACAAAAACAGGACAAACGCUGGUUUCCAGGGGGUUAGGCGGCUAUUUAUUUGAAAGAGCAAGUUUACAACAACACAUGUGAGCAGAAAAAUCACAGUCUGUCUUUCGUUCAGCUGAAAAUAUUAGUUUUUGCCUUUUUUAUUGACCAAAUUUUUCAGGAAGUAGAUGAAGAAUAAUUAAAGCUCUCAUGUAGAAGUCCAACUUAUUUUGGCUCCUUGUGGAGAGUUUAAUCUUAGAGUUUGUACAGCUGUUUAGUUUUUAGAGUCACAUGGAUUGUUUUGUCUUCCCCUCUACCUCUUCUGUCCCUCUCAACCCGCCCGGUCAGCAGGCAGAUGGGUCCCCCCACAUUAGAGCCGGGUUCUGCUCGAGGUUUUUUUCCCUGUUAAAAGGGUGUUUUCCUUGCCACUGUCACCUUUUGGCUUGCUCUGGAGGUCAGGC